UCUGUGGGGAGAGUGAGUUUAGCCUACCGCAGACUAUCUCCUGUUCUUCCGUAGGCAGGUGGAUUGCAUGCCCAGACACAUGGCGGCUCACCCAGCAGCUCCAUCACCCCACCCCCAGGAGUUCCAAUAAAGCACCGCGCAAGUGCACAACACAUUACUGGGAUCCCGAGUGUGGCAGCCGACACACGAUUUUUUAAAAAAUGCAAGUUAAGGGCGCGUUCGCUCCCUUAAUCUCAUUUUAGCAGGUGGCUACUUGGGUGGGUUUGCUGUUGUGUAGCCACCAGGAUCAGGUGUGAUCCUGGUGGUUCACACAAGCUUGCAAACCUGGACUGGGCUCCCUUAGCCUAGUUUUGCCCACUCAUGUGAAUAGCCUCUAUGUCUGUGACUAGUCAAGGCAGGAAGGGACCUAUUCCAGAAAUUAACCACUGCUUACAUUGAAGGAUUCUCCACAUAGGAUUUGUAGGGGGAACUUGUAGGCCUGGAUUCAAAAUAAAAUAUCAUCCUUUGAUAGCAAAGGGGGUCAUUUUCAUAUGAAGGCUAGACACAAGCACUGUAGAAAUUGGAGUACACAUAUAGCUGUCCUGAAUUACCCUUGCUGAUGGACAGAACUGGCUACGGCCUAGUUUUCAGUCCCAGAGCUAUAUGUGGGCCUAAACAAGGCUUCUGCAUGGUUGGUAUUUCUUUGGUGGAAAGUGUUUUGUCUCUCUUCUCCUUCACUGCAGACUUAAAAUAGAAACAGCCAACAGCUGCUACCAGACCCUUCUGUUAUCCUCUUGCCUGAGGCCCUUUCUGAGGGAAAAGAACUACCUCUUUAGGCCUCAAGAUAUUCUGACAUGAAGACCCUAGCAGACCAACUUACACAAUGAGGAAAUGUGUAGAUGGACCAUACUGCAGUUUCUCUGGGGCUCACACCCAGGAAAGUGCACCGAGGAUUGCAGUCAAGUCAUUAAAGGAGAAGGUUUAAAGUUCCAAGGGGAGAAAAUGAUUUCAGGAAGUGGAUGGUUACAGUAGCAACAAUGCCCAGAUACACAGGAAACAUUUAAAGCCACUUUUUUUUUUUUUUAAGUAAGAGUUCUAACCAGCACAGUUGUGUUUAUACACCACCCUGCCCCAUUCCAAGCUCCAUGGGAGAUAGAGACUUAUCAAAUACUGGAGAAUACAGUAUAUUCCUGAGAAGUUUGAUAAACCAGACCAGACUCUAUGGGGAAGUGGGGACAGUGGAAGGUACAUAUAAUGAACCAUCCCCGUAAUGUGGACAGAAAACAAUGUGCAAGCACUGCUGGAUGUGCAAGCUCCAUUUCUACUCCACCUGCAGCACAAUGCAGAAACUCACAGAAGCAAGCACAAAAAAGCUCUCCAUCUGAAAGCAAGUAAUCUCUGUUGCAACUAAAUAAUAUUACAACAACAAUUUUUUUUUUGAUAUUUCAAACUCAAGCUGUAAUCUUAUGCACACUUUCUUGGGAAAAGGCACCAUUGAAACACCUUGGGGGAAGCAUGGAACUUACUUCUAAGGAAACAUGCAUAGAAUUGCAUUGUGAAGCUACAUUUUAAAUUAUCUGAUUAUAAUGUGCAAUUUAAGAAUUAUUGUUCUAUGGCAAUUUUGCUUAAUUUUUAAAAAAUGCAUUUGAUUGGUGUAACAAUCAGGCUACAAUCAUGUGCUGGAGUGAUGACUGGAAUGUAAUGGAGAAUUGAGCCACUAUCUAUAAAUACAAACAACUUGUGAACAAAUUCAGAA